rnacentral:rRNA from 1 species
AUUGAACGCUGGCGGCAGGCUUAACACAUGCAAGUCGAGCGGAGAUGAGGUGCUUGCUACCGGACCUAGCGGCGGACGGGUGAGUAAUGCUUAGGAAUCUGCCUAUUAGUGGGGGACAACAUCUCGAAAGGGAUGCUAAUACCGCAUACGUCCUACGGGAGAAAGCAGGGGAUCUUCGGACCUUGCGCUAAUAGAUGAGCCUAAGUCGGAUUAGCUAGUUGGUGGGGUAAAGGCCUACCAAGGCGACGAUCUGUAGCGGGUCUGAGAGGAUGAUCCGACACACUGGGACUGAGACCCGGCCCAGACUCCUACGGGAGGCAGCAGUGGGGAAUAUUGGACAAUGGGGGGGACCCUGAUCCAGCCAUGCCGCGUGUGUGAAGAAGGCCUUAUGGUUGUAAAGCACUUUAAGCGAGGAGGAGGCUACUCUAGUUAAUACCUAGGGAUAGUGGACGUUACUCGCAGAAUAAGCACCGGCUAACUCUGUGCCAGCCGCCGCCGUAA